rnacentral:rRNA from 1 species
GACGUAGGGCGCGAGCGUUGUCCGGAUUUAUUGGGCGUAAAGGGCGCGUAGGCGGCCUGAUAAGUAGGGGGUGAAAUCCUGCGGCUUAACCGCAGGGCUGCCUUCUAAACUGUCAGGCUCGAGCACAGUAGAGGCAGGUGGAAUUCCCGGUGUAGCGGUGGAAUGCGUAGAGAUCGGGAAGAACAUCAGUGGCGAAGGCGGCCUGCUGGGCUGUUGCUGACGCUGAGGCGCGGCAGCGUGGGGAGCAAACAGG